rnacentral:lncRNA from 1 species
GUAAAAAGAUUUCUAUUAUGCCCCGAGAGUGUAAAUUUGGAACGAAUCGAUGUAAACGUUCACAAGAACCAAAACCGGAACAAAAUUAGACUACUCAGUUGAGCCCUAACAGUAUAACUUUGCAACUAGUACUUUUUCUCAUUCAAUCGAACAAAGAGCAAAACCUAAUUAUAGUGUUCUCUUAUGCCCCGAGAGUGUAAAUUUGGAACGAAUCGAUGUAAACGUUCACAAGAACAAAAAACGGAACAAAGUUAGACUACUUAGUUGAGCCCUAACAGUAUAACUUUUCAAGAAGUACUUUUUCUCAUUCAAUCGAACAAAGAGCAAAACCUAAUUUUAUUGUUCUAUUAUGCACCGGGAGUGUAAAUUUGGAACGAAUCGAUGACAACGUUUACAGGAACCAAAACCGGAACAAUAUUAAACUUCUCAGUUGUGCCAUAACAGUAUAACUUUGCAACGAGUACUUUUUCUCAUUCUAUCGAAUAAGGAGUAAAAGCUUUCUAUUAUGCUUCGAGAGUGUAAAUUUGGAACGAAUCAAUGUAAACGAUCAAAAUAACCAUAACCGGAACAAAAUUAGACUACUCAGUUGCGUCGUAACAGUAUAACUUUGCAACUAGUUCUUUUUCUCAUUCAAUCGAACAAAGAGCAAAACCUAAUUAUAUUCUUCUAUUAUGCCCCGAGAGUGUAAAUUUGGAAAGAAUCGAUGUAAACGUUCACAAGAACCAAAACCGGAACAAAGUUAGAUAACUCAGUUGAGCCCUAACAGUAUUACUUUGCAACUAGUACUUUUUCUUAUUCAAUCGAACAAAGAGCAAAACCUAAUUUUAUUGUUCUAUUAUGCCCCGGGAGGGUAAAUUUGGAACGAAUCGUUGUCAACGUUCACAAGAACCAAAACCGGAACAAAGUUAGACUACACAGUUGAGCCCUAACUGUAUAAUUUUGCAACUAGUACUUUUUUUCAUUCAAUCGAACAAUGAGCAAAACCUAAUUAUAUUCUUCUAUUAUGCCCCGAGAGUGUAAAUUUGAAACGAAUCGUUGUCAACGUUCAUAAGAACCAAAACCGGAACAAUGUUAGACUACUCAGUUGAGCUCUAACAGUAUAACUUUGCAACUACUACUUUUUCUCAUUCAAUCGAUCAAAGAGCAAAACCUAAUUAUAUUAUUCUAUUAUGCCCCGAGAGAGUAAAUUGGGAACCAAUCCAUGUCAACGUUCACAAGAACCAAAACAAGAACAACAUGAGACUACUCAGUUGCGCCCUAGCAGUAUAACUUUGCAACAAGUACUUUUUCUCAUUCUAUCGAACAAAGAGUUAAAAGCUAAUUAUAUUGUUCUAUUACGCCCCGAGAGUUGUAAUUUCGAACGAAUCGAUGUCAACGUUCACAAUAACCAAAACCGAAACCAUAUUAGGCUACUCAGUUGCACCCUAACAGUAUAACUUUGCAAUCUCAUUCUAUCGAAGAAAGAGUAAAACCUAAUUAUAUUGUUCUAUUAUGCCCCAUGAGAGUAAAUUUGGAACCAAUCGAUGUCAACGUUCACAAGAACCAAAAUUGGAACAACAUUAAACAACUCAGUUGCGCUCUAACAGUUGAACAUUGCAACAAGUACUUUUUCUCAUUCAAUCGAACAAAGUGUAAAAGCUAAUUAUAUAUUAUACCCCGAGAGGGUAAAUUUGAAACAAAUCGAUGUCAACGCUCACAAGAACCAAAACCGGAACAAUAUUAGACUACUCAGUUGCUCAAUAACAGUAUAACUUUGCAACGAGUACUUUUUCUCAUUCUAUCGAACAAAGAGUUAAACCUAAUUAUAUUGUUCUAUUAUGCCCCGAAAGAGUAAAUUUGGAACGAAUCGAUGUCAAUGUUCACAAGAACAAAAAUCGGAACAACAUUAGACUACUGAGUUGCGCCCUAACAGUAUAACUUUGCAAGGGGUACUUUUUCUCAUUCUAUCGAACAAAGAGUAAAAUCUAAUAAUAUUGUUCUAUUAUGCCCCUAGAGUGUAAAUUUGGAACGAAUCGAUGUCAGCGUUCACAAGAACCAAAACCGGAACAACAUUAAACUACUCAGUUGUGCCCCAACAGUAUAACUUUGCAACGA